CACCUGGACCCAUCCCGAACCCAGAAGUUAAGCCCGUCAACGUAUGGUGCGGUACUGAGAUACGAGAGUUCUCGGGAACCAUCAUGAGCUGCUAUUA
rnacentral:rRNA from 1 species